rnacentral:rRNA from 1 species
UACGAAGGGGGCUAGCGUUGUUCGGAAUCACUGGGCGUAAAGCGCACGUAGGCGGAUCUUUAAGUCAGAGGUGAAAUCCCAAGGCUCAACCUUGGAACUGCCUUUGAUACUGGGGAUCUUGAGUUCGGGAGAGGUGAGCGGAACUGCGAGUGUAGAGGUGAAAUUCGUAGAUAUUCGCAAGAACACCAGUGGCGAAGGCGGCUCACUGGCCCGAUACUGACGCUGAGGCACGAAAGCGUGGGGGAGCAAACAGG